UUCAGUGCAAUUAGCCUAGACAUUCUACUCGAAGCUAUAAACUCUUAAUGGAAUUAGGGAACGCACAAAGUAUAAUCAAGAGAUAGACCUAUCAAGACAUAUUAAAAUAGAUGAGACUAGGUUUACUCCCUUGUUUAAGAUGUUGAGGAGUGGUUCUUAAAGUUGCCACUUGAAUCCUCACUUCUUCUUCUUCUCUUAUUGCAAUCACCCUUCUGAAUUCACCACCAUGAUGGAAUGCUUGUGGAUGCUUCAGCUACUUCUUCAAUCACCUCACAAUAGAAGCCGCCUUGAUAGAGUAGCCUUCUUCUUCACACAGCCAAGAGUGCUCUGUCUUAGUUUGAAGAACCCUCUUGAAUAGGCACGCCACUGCCUAGACCCGGUUGGCUUCUUCUUCAGGUACUUGCAAUGGUAAGAGAAAGAACACCAGUGAGCUUAAGUGAGUUUUACAACCAUCUGUGCUUCUCCCUUCUUGUAACACCUCUCCAUUGUACACACAAUGGGCAUCAUUCUUUCUCUUUCAACUCGGAUUUGAUGAUGAGCUAGGAACACCUUUUGUGAACCUGAAACAUCACUCAAACUCUAGCAAAGAUAAGACACAAUUGCAUUGGGAUCAAUCCUUG
rnacentral:lncRNA from 1 species